AUUGAACGCUGGCGGCAGGCUUAACACAUGCAAGUCGAGCGGUAACAGAGAGAAGCUUGCUUCUCUGCUGACGAGCGGCGGACGGGUGAGUAGUGCCUAGGAAUCUGCCUAGUAGUGGGGGAUAACUUGCCGAAAGGUAAGCUAAUACCGCAUACGUCCUACGGGAGAAAGGAGGGGACCUUCGGGCCUUUCGCUAUUAGAUGAGCCUAGGUCGGAUUAGUUAGUUGGUGAGGUAAUGGCUCACCAAGACCGCGAUCCGUAACUGGUCUGAGAGGAUGAUCAGUCACACUGGAACUGAGACACGGUCCAGACUCCUACGGGAGGCAGCAGUGGGGAAUAUUGGACAAUGGGGGGAACCCUGAUCCAGCCAUGCCGCGUGUGUGAAGAAGGUCUUAGGAUUGUAAAGCACUUUAAGAUGGGAGGAAGAGCAGUUAACUAAUAUUUGACUGUUUUGACGUUACCGACAGAAUAAGCACCGGCUAACUUCGUGCCAGCAGCCGCCGUAA
rnacentral:rRNA from 1 species